CACGUAGGCACCAAGCGUUGUCCGGAUUUAUUGGGCUUAAAGGGCGCGUAGGCGGCCUGUUAAGUCGAACGUGAAAUCCCUGGGCUCAACCCAGGAACUGCGUCCGAUACUGGCAGGCUUGAAUCCGGGAGAGGGAUGUGGAAUUCCAGGUGUAGCGGUGAAAUGCGUAGAUAUCAGGAAGAACACCGGUGGCGAAGGCGGCUCUCUGGGCCUAACCUGACGCUGAGGAGCGAAAGCGUGGGUAGCGAACAGG
rnacentral:rRNA from 1 species